AUUGAACGCUGGCGGCAGGCCUAACACAUGCAAGUCGAACGAGUGGCGGACGGUUGAGUAAUAUCUGGGAACCUGCCUGAUGGAGGGGGAUAACUACUGGAAACGGUAGCUACUACCGCAUACCCUCAGAUGUUCCCCGAUGGGAUUAGCUAGUAGGUGGGGUAAAGGCUCACCUAGGUGACGUUACCUAGUUGGUCUGAGAGGAUGACCAGCCACGCUGGAACUGAGACCAGGUCCAGACUCCUAGGGGAGGCAGCAGUGGGGAAUAUGGGACAAUGGGCGGAAGCCUGAUACAGCCAGGCCGCGUGUAUGAAGAAGGCCUGCGGGUUGUAAAGUAAUUGCAGCGGGGAGGCGUUACCCGCAGAAGAAGCACCGGCUAACUCCGUGCCAGCAGCCGCGGUAAUUC
rnacentral:rRNA from 1 species